CCUGGCUCAGGACGAACGCUGGCGGCGCGCCUAACACAUGCAAGUCGAACGAGCGAGAGAGAGCUUGCUUUCUCGAGCGAGUGGCGAACGGGUGAGUAACGCGUGAGGAACCUGCCUCAAAGAGGGGGACAACAGUUGGAAACGACUGCUAAUACCGCAUAAGCCCACGACCCGGCAUCGGGUAGAGGGAAAAGGAGCGAUCCGCUUUGAGAUGGCCUCGCGUCCGAUUAGCUAGUUGGUGAGGUAACGGCCCACCAAGGCGGCGAUCGGUAGCCGGACUGAGAGGUUGAACGGCCACAUUGGGACUGAGACACGGCCCAGACUCCUACGGGAGGCAGCAGUGGGGAAUAUUGCACAAUGGGGGAAACCCUGAUGCAGCGACGCCGCGUGGAGGAAGAAGGUCUUCGGAUUGUAAACUCCUGUUGUUGAGAAGAUAAUGACGGUACUCAACAAGGAAGUGACGGCUAACUACGUGCCAGCAGCCGCGGUAAAACGUAGGUCACAAGCGUUGUCCGGAAUUACUGGGUGUAAAGGGAGCGCAGGCGGGAAGACAAGUUGGAAGUGAAAUCCAUGGGCUCACCCAUGAACUGCUUUCAAAACUGUUUUUCUUGAGUAGUGCAGAGGUAGGCGGAAUUCCCGGUGUAGCGGUGGAAUGCGUAGAUAUCGGGAGGAACACCAGUGGCGAAGGCGGCCUACUGGGCACCAACUGACGCUGAGGCUCGAAAGUGUGGGUAGCAAACAGGAUUAGAUACCCUGGUAGUCCACACUGUAAACGAUGAUUACUAGGUGUUGGAGGAUUGACCCCUUCAGUGCCGCAGUUAACACAAUAAGUAAUCCACCUGGGGAGUACGACCGCAAGGUUGAAACUCAAAGGAAUUGACGGGGGCCCGCACAAGCAGUGGAGUAUGUGGUUUAAUUCGACGCAACGCGAAGAACCUUACCAAGUCUUGACAUCCUGCGACGCACAUAGAAAUAUGUGUUUCCUUCGGGACGCAGAGACAGGUGGUGCAUGGUUGUCGUCAGCUCGUGUCGUGAGAUGUUGGGUUAAGUCCCGCAACGAGCGCAACCCUUAUGGUCAGUUACUACGCAAGAGGACUCUGGCCAGACUGCCGUUGACAAAACGGAGGAAGGUGGGGAUGACGUCAAAUCAUCAUGCCCUUUAUGACUUGGGCUACACACGUACUACAAUGGCGUUAAACAAAGAGAAGCAAGACCGCGAGGUGGAGCAAAACUCAGAAACAACGUCCCAGUUCGGACUGCAGGCUGCAACUCGCCUGCACGAAGUCGGAAUUGCUAGUAAUCGCAGAUCAGCAUGCUGCGGUGAAUACGUUCCCGGGCCUUGUACACACCGCCCG
rnacentral:rRNA from 1 species